ensembl:miRNA Mir6392 microRNA 6392
UUCUUCCUGACCCGCUCCGGCGCUCUGGUCCUGCCAGCUGGGUCAUCCCUGAGCAGCAGGGAACGACGCAGGUUUGCCGGGUCCUUUGGUCCCUGAGCCGCAGAAGGU